rnacentral:lncRNA from 1 species
CAAAGGAGAUGUGAUGCUGGGUCCCACCCCACCAUGUUGGCAGAAACGCUUCUCCAUCCUUCUUUCCCUUGGACCAGGGUCAGGCACAGAGGGAGCUGUGGGAAGCCUUCACCGAUGGUCCCCACGGGUCCGCUGCUGCAGCUAUUUCCAGGCCCGCAUGGACUGGGAGGGUAGGUGAUCCUGUGGCUCUCACAUCAGACCUGGGGACAAGCAGGGACACCUAUGGAGGCCUGUAGCUAGACCGUGGAAGCCCUCCCUGGAAGACCCUUUCCCCUGCUGGCCUUGGAAGUUCCUCAGGGCCCUCUUAUGCCCCCAGCCCUCUUUCUUCCCUCUCCAGGAAGGCCUGGCAAAAUCCAUCCAGGAAACCACGGGUGGAAGUUGUCUUCCUGCAUCUUCUGCUUUCAGGAAAUGCCUGGCUACCUUCAGAAUGAAGCACAGUUGAGCAUCUCACUAAGUCACGCUGCCCAGAAUGCUCAUCACUGGGAUGAGAUGAAGGUCUGUGACCCUUUGCCAGGGUGGGAGGAGACGCAGGUCCCUGCUGUGACCAUUAGACCACUUGGGAAUAAGUGUGUGGCUUUGGAGCUAAGAAAGAUCGAAAUAACUUGGACCCUUAAUACAGAGCCUGGCCCAGACACACGGCUGCUCCUUCUGUUAUGCACAUGUUCAGGCUGGUGA